GGUGGCGUUUGACCGAAAAUCUUGACUGUUAAUCAAUUGGUCGUAGGUUCGAUCCCUACCGCCGGAGCCA
rnacentral:tRNA from 1 species